AGAGUUUGAUCCUGGCUCAGGAUGAACGCUGGCGGCGUGCUUAACACAUGCAAGUCGAACGAUGAACCUCACUUGUGGGGGGAUUAGUGGCGAACGGGUGAGUAACACGUGAGUAACCUGCCCUUAACUCUGGGAUAAGCCUGGGAAACUGGGUCUAAUACCGGAUAUGACUCCUCAUCGCAUGGUGGGGGGUGGAAAGCUUUAUUGUGGUUUUGGAUGGACUCGCGGCCUAUCAGCUUGUUGGUGAGGUAAUGGCUCACCAAGGCGACGACGGGUAGCCGGCCUAAGAGGGUGACCGGCCACACUGGGACUGAGACACGGCCCAGACUCCUACGGGAGGCAGCAGUGGGGAAUAUUGCACAAUGGGCGCAAGCCUGAUGCAGCGACGCCGCGUGAGGGAUGACGGCCUUCGGGUUGUAAACCUCUUUCAGUAGGGAAGAAGCGAAAGUGACGGUACCUGCAGAAGAAGCGCCGGCUAACUACGUGCCAGCAGCCGCGGUAAUACGUAGGGCGCAAGCGUUAUCCGGAAUU
rnacentral:rRNA from 1 species